AUGGCACGACCGCCUCAUCAAAGUCGACCAUGUAAAAAUAUACAACCAUGGCACGACCGCCUCAUCAAAGUCGCCCAUGUAAACUAUACAAUCAUGGCACGACCGCCUCAUCAACGUCGCCCAUGCAGAAAUUUACAUCCAUGGCACGACCGCCUCAUCAAANNNNNNNNNGUAAAAAUAUACAACCAUGGCACGACCGCCUCAUCAACGUCGCCCAUGCGGAGAUUUACAUCCAUGGCACGACCGCCUCAUCAAAGUCGCCCAUGUAAAAAUAUACAACCAUGGCACGACCGCCUCACCAACGUCGCCCAUGUCAAAACCUACGACCAUGGCACGAUCGCUUCAUCAACGUCGCCCAUGCGGAGUAGAUGA
rnacentral:rRNA from 1 species